AUGAUUCGUGGGACGUCCUGCCGGUGGUGGCGAGUCGAAGGCGUGCUCCCGUCGUGGUUUCCACUUCGGUUCUUGUGCGCCCGAGGCGGACCCCGAUGAAAUCCUACCGCGGUGCUCUUCACCGAGUGUCGAGGUGGGCCGGCACGUUUACUUUGAACAAAUUAGAGUGCUUAAAGCAGGCCUGUUGCGCCUGAAUACUGUGUGCAUGGAAUAAUGGAAUAGGACCUCGGUUCUAUUUUGUUGGUUUUCGGAACCCGAGGUAAUGAUUAAUAGGGACAGGCGGGGGCAUUCGUAUUGCGACGUUAGAGGUGAAAUUCUUGGAUCGUCGCAAGACGGACCGAAGCGAAAGCAUUUGCCAAGUAUGUUUUCAUUAAUCAAGAACGAAAGUUAGAGGUUCGAAGGCGAUCAGAUACCGCCCUAGUUCUAACCAUAAACGAUGCCAGCUAGCGAUCCGCCGAAGUUCCUCCGAUGACUCGGCGGGCAGCUCCCGGGAAACCAAAGCUUUUGGGUUCCGGGGGAAGUAUGGUUGCAAAGCUGAAACUUAAAGGAAUUGACGGAAGG
rnacentral:rRNA from 1 species